AACCUGAAGGGGAUGGAGUCUAAGGGCGUGAAGGCCAGGUUCCGCCCACUAGGGGCUAGGAGGAGUUACAAGCCGGAGGAAAGUGGGGAAAGGCAGGACCUGGUGUCCUGAGACUAACAAAUAAUUGCUUGUUGGCCGAGUACAGGAUAAGGGUAAAGCAGCUAACCAGUAUUGCGCAGUAAGUGUGCUAAACGCCAUGUGGGCAUCAUUGCUUUAAUUAUUGACCGGGUCGCUGUGAAUAUGCAGCAUAACCCGCGGAAUGAAGUCAAAGCAAUCCUUGAGGAAAAGUUACCACCUUAAACAGAUUUUACAAAAUCAUAUGAACUACUUGAAUAAUCUAAGGCCCCUGCCAGGGCCUUGGAAGGGACCCAACAAGAUUAAUCAAGCAAGCUGAUGGAGAAAAUGAAAGUGCUUGCUUCUCUGAACUACUCAUUCUCAACAUGCCUGGAGCUCCUGUUCCAUUUUCUUUCACCUUUGAUGGGCUGCUUCUUCUCUCAGGAGGCUCUGAACCCAAGAUCUGACCCCUUCCCCACCUUGAGACAACAAACUGAACCAGCCUCCGAGGUCAGAUGCUUUUUCUGAAGUAGGGGGCCAGGGUGGAUAGGAUUUGGGGAUGGAAUGGAAUAUUGAAACAUGCACAGUGGAAAGCAAAGCAGGGAUUAAGGCAGCUUCCUGAGUUCAUGAGAGGUAACGUCUACCUGUCACCUGAACGGCUGGGUGACUCACCUGCUUUGGAAGGAGAUGUCUAGGGAGAUGAAUACUUUCGAGGCAAGGCCCACUUUCCUGGCUCGCCAUGUCUUGCUGGAAUCACCUGCAGUGCCCCAUCACCAAGACGGGUUCACAUACCUCUUUCAUUUCUCAUCUGUCCUGGAAACUGCCCUCCUCCCUCUGGCUAGAACCUGGCUCAAACACU